UACGUAGGGGGCUAGCGUUGUCCGGAAUCAUUGGGCGUAAAGCGCGUGUAGGUGGUGGGACAAGUCUGCUGUGAAAGCGCCUGGCUUAACCGGGCGAGGUCGGCGGAAACUGUCCGACUCGAGGACGGUAGAGGGGGGUGGAAUUCCCGGUGUAGUGGUGAAAUGCGUAGAGAUCGGGAGGAACACCUGUGGCGAAGGCGGCCCCCUGGGCCGGCCCUGACACUGAGACGCGAAGGCGUGGGGAGCGAACGGG
rnacentral:rRNA from 1 species